UACGUAGGCAGCAAGCGUUGUUCGGAGUUACUGGGCGUAAAGGGUGCGCAGGCGGCCCUGCGCGUCGCGAGUGAAAUCUCCCGGCUCAACUGGGAGGGUGGUCGCGAGACGGCAGGGCUUGAGGCUCGGUGAGGGGCGUGGAAUUCCGGGUGGAGCGGUGAAAUGCGUAGAGAUCCGGAGGAACACCAACGGCGUAGGCAGCGCCCUAGACGAGACCUGACGCUCAGGCACGAAAGCGCGGGGAGCGAACAGG
rnacentral:rRNA from 1 species